UGCCUUUUUUUUUUCUUCUUAGGGUUUUCUGAAACCCAGCCAUGUUUGACAAGAGGCGGAUCCGGGUCAUUCCUGACCCGACCCGGUCCGGCCCAGUCAUUUUUUUCUUUCUUAAUAUUCAGCUUAUUUCCACUUUUUGGGCUUUCUCACCUCCUAAUCCGGAUUCACACCCCUGGCCCAUUACUAAGUUUUUUUUAUUAUUCAUCUCUUUAAUUUUCUUUUAAAUAAUUUCAUAAAAAGACUUAGUAUUUUAUUUUUAAUAUAGGAUAUAGUUUAAUUUUUCUAAUCCUUAUUAAAAAAUGACAAAAAAAUAUAUUUUAAGAUUUGAGUUUUCUUAGAAAUAUUUUUAAUAUGUUUAGAAGUAUGUUUUUUAAGAUAUUAAAAAAACUCCAAAAAAAUAUAUUAGAUACAUAUUUUUAUUUAUGUUUCUAAUUAUUUUCUUCUUCUCAUAAAAAAACAACAAAAAUAUAUUAGAUGCAUAUGUUUCUAAUUAUUUUCUCUUUUUAUGAAAAAAUCACAAAAAAAUAUCUUUAUUAGAUUAAUUUCUUUUGGAUUUGAUAUUUUCACAUUAAUUUUGUGUAGUUAAUCAUGUAAAUUUUAUUUGAUUACUGUUACACAUAUCACUUGUAUUUCCUAACUUCAUCCGAGACUCCGAGAUUAUUUCUCCGUUGUCUUUUGGAUUUGUCUGUUUUGUUUGGUCUUCCAUUUGCUGUAGAAUUUCAUAAACAAUUACUGGAUGAUCAUGGAAUGCUGUAAGCUGUGAGCUUAUCCGACGUUCUUUUCUGCUGGUGAGGAUGCUUAACAUUUUUUGAAAUCCUAAUUUAUUCCAAGCAUACCACUUGAGGAUCACGGUAACACCUCAAACUCAGAAAUCCAAUUUUCUCAUUCUUCGAGGUAAGCCUAAAACUCAAUCAACUGUUUUCACAACAGUAAUCAAUUCUUUUUCAAAUCAUCCAUUGAUUUUCAAAACGAAGUGGGGCCUCUCGAAUAUUAGAGAGUAUAAGACCCACUCUUUUUUUCCUUUUACAGUUUUUCUUUGUACAGAAAACUUUUUCAAAACAAUACUUUUCAAACUGUUUUUAAAACAAUAAAUCUCACAUCUUUUUUUCAAAACCACCCACCCUGUUUUAUGAAAAUAAAACAGGGGCCUCUCGAAUAUUAGAGAGUGUAAGUCCCAUUUCUUUUCUUUUUGUACAGUUUUUCUUCAAACAGAAUAAACUUUUCAAACAACUUUCAAACAUUUUUUUCAAACGACGCGUCUGUAAAUAAACAGCCAACCAUGUUUUGUAAAAAACACGGGCCUCCACGUAGGUAUAAGUCCCAAGCCCCUUUUGUACAUACCCAUUCCUGUACAUGAAAUUAGGUAUUUCAUUGUACAUAUACCGUUUUGUACAUAUCUCGAUCAACUUGAUUUUUAACUUUGGAUAACAAACCAAAAAUGAAGGUUUCUUUAAAUCUUCCCAAAAAUACCACGGGCCUCCAUGUAGGUAUAAGUCCCAAGCCCUUGUAAAAACCUGUUUACAUAGCUUUGAAUAAACUCAAGCGGACCUCUCCCCGAGUGUGAGUCCCGAGCCCCCGUGUAUACAAAUGGAUCAUGCUUACAGGUAUAUUUCCUUCAUAAACUCCAUUAUAUACACACACUUUGUCAUAUAUAUAAUUAUUCAUAACCUGUUCAUGUUUGUUCAUGUUUGUUCAUACUUGUUCAUGUUUGUUCAUAUGUGUGAUAUGUGUGCUUGUUCAACUUAGUACAACACUAGGUUCCCCAUAGCCUCCUAUUGGGCUUCGUGCAAAGAAUCUCCACUAGUUUAGGUUAGGACAUAGAGUAUGGUUUCCCGGUGAAAUCGCUCUAAGAGCUCAGACCAACUAUACCAUGCCUCCCCUUGGGCUUUGUACAAACGAGUGACCCUCCCAUAGCCUCCUCUUGGGCUUACAAUGCAAGGACCCUGGAUUGUCCCUCCCAUAGCCUCCUCUUGGGCUUACAAUGCAAGGACCCUCGGAUAGCCUCCUCUUGGGCUUCGUACAAGGACCCACGGGCUUCUUAUAAGCAUCCCCAAUAUCCAAAUCAAAAAACCCUAGGAGAUUAGACAUUUAUCAUCUCUAUGAUAGGAGUAUCUCUUUUAUAUCAUCACAAACAAUCAAUCAAUCAAACUUUUUUGCCACAAGGCUGGCUAAUCAAUCAAACUUUUUUGCCACAAGGCUGGCUAAUCAAUCAAACUGUUUUGCCACCGUACUGGCUGAUUAAUCAAAGUUUUUGUCACAAGGCUGACUUCAUUAAAACUUUUGCCACAAGGCUAGCUGAUUAAUCAAAACUUUUUGUCACAAGGCUGACUUCAUUGAAAGUUUUUUGCCACAAGGCUGGUUAAACAAAAAAAAAACAUCUUUAUCAUUCUAAGCACCCUAAGCGGCAUGGCCCCGGGCUUAUAAUGAAAAUAUUUUCAAAUAAAAACAAACAGAUGUAUGUGAUGAUAUAGAUUAGAUACAUCGAACAUUUAGAUGACAUUUGUCUCUUUUCCUUUGCUUCCACUAGCAUAAGUGGGAACUACGAUUGCUCUGACUUUCUCAACAUCCCUUUGAGAAUACGUAGGCACAAGGUCUUAUUCCUUGGCGAGCAAAACUUCUCUCUCAAACCAUUCAAACCUUAGCACCCGUAGACCCCGAGCUACAGAUGCUCUGAUUCCCUCUAAGGGAUAUGUAUGCAGAGGAUCGCGAUGAUCUUUGCGAGCAUAAUCAAACAAACACCUUAGGUCCCACCUCUUUCUCACAAGAACCUCCACCAUAACAUGGAAUGAAAAACAAAGCAAAGAAACCUAUAUAGUACUAUAGAUACGUUGGGUGCUAAUACCUUCCCUUCGUAUAACCAACCCUCUUACCCAAAGAUCUCUCCCCCCACCUUUUUAGGUUAUUGCAACUUUUUUCCUUUUCCUCUUUUGGAAACAAUAAAAAGUUUGGUCCGUACAAAAGAAAAAUCAUUUUUAUGAGCACUCGAGCCCAAAGAAGGCAUCAGGUGUCUCAUCCCGAAAAAAAGACAAACGAUUUUUCCCCGCGACACCUGGGCACCUGUGAAAGUUGACACAACUAAAGAAAAUGCUAGACGCAACUUGAUGGUGCCAAGUGAAUGAGUUUAGAGCAACCCGAACCGGGCAUGAAGUUGUACAAAAUGGAGACCAUUGUUGAACCUGUAAGCAAUACCUAACAUGUGAGAAUAUACAAAGCCAAACACAUCAUUUCAUCGUGAGAGAGCAUCAGGUAUGGCAUCAUCACUCUAAUUUUGCAUUUGUUCUUCAUAUAGUACAUAAAUUGAUCACACACACUGAGGCACUUUUGUUUGUUUAACCCGAAACCUUUCUUACCCAACCUUGUUGUCUAUUAUCCCUCGUUAACAAAUCUUUACCCAUCAUCCAUGUUUUUCUUUUAAAAAAGAAAAAGAUAUAUAUAUAUAUAUAUUUUUUCAUAACCCCUCUUGUUUCCUCUAUAUUUGGUAUUAACUAUAAGCCUGAGUCCGAUAGCAAAAGUUAAGUUUGGGGUACCCAAGUCCGGUAGUAAAAGAAGGAAGCAAGUGUAAAAAAAAAAAAAAGAAAAAAAAGAGGAACACAUGCAAGAAAGAAAAUGUUUGUGCAAAAGAAAAAAAAAGAAGAGAAAAAAAAUUGAUUUUGUUUUACACACUUGCCAUCAUGUAAAGAGUUCUAAGAGUCCGGAAAGCAGAAAAAUCGCUAAACACUCCAAAUACUAUGUAAUGUGCAAAAAGAUAUCGGACGGAUUAGUUGAUACCAAACCAUAAAUCCUCGUACCCAAUUUCUUUGUUUAUACUACCUAACCUAAGCCCCGUUACAACCCGUAAGUCCUCAAAAAGUGUGUGUUAUUGAUUAUGUGGAAUUGUGUUAGAAUGUGUACAAAAUUUAAGAGUAGAUAUGCAUGCCUUGAUGAAUGAGUGAAACACUUAACCCCGAGAGAAUUGGCGAGGAGUGUGAUUUAGCUUGCAGGUAAAAUAAUGAGUCAACAAUGAAGUGCAACGGAAAACUUCGGAAAGGGGAAUCGAACACUUUGACACGGAAGUAAAUAUCAAGUGUGGAAGUAUCAGUUACGUUGUGGAGCAAAAGAAAAGUUCAUGGGUGUCCUCUUGUUUUCUCCUCCAUCACUUGAGGACAAGUAAUGAGCUAAGUUUCGGGUUGUGAUCGGCCACCAAUUUCACCUUAUUCCUGUGUUCGAAUCAAUGGAAAAGCACUUCAUUCAGUGGUAUUUUAAGUUGUUUCAAUUUAGUUCUUUUUAGUUUUGUUAAUUUUCGUUUUUGAGUUUGGUGUGUUAUCUUUUCUAGUUUUUGUUGUUUUUCCAUUGAUUUUGAUCUAGUGUUUGGUGGUGUUUAAAGUUAUGCAGUACAGGGCACGAUUCGAGGCAAGAAAAAAUGGUUUUUGGUGAGACAGAGCUGUGACACGGCCACCAGUGUCAUGUGACACGGCCGUGUCACACUUGCUGAAGAGAAAAACUUGAAAAUAUGAAAACCAAGAAAACAGAGUUGUGACACGGCCACCCGUGUCAUGGGACACGGCCGUGUCAGACUUGCGCGCAGAAAAAUAUUUGUUUUCAAAUCUUUGAAUCAGUCACUUAAGGAGGGGCAUGAUGGACUUUUCAGAAGAGACUAUUUGCUGAGAGUUAUUUAGUCACCGUUUGAAAAGGAGAAAAGCACUUUUUGACCGUCGGAGAACGUGAAAAUAGAGAUUGAGAGCAUUAGGGAUUGGAGCGAAGAAAUCUUCAAAAGCAUCCGCGAUUGAAGAUCAAUUCCGAUUCAACCAAUUGUAAUGUCUUCAUCUUUAUUCAUUGUUAUCGUGAUAAUUGUCAUGAGUAGCUAAACUCUUUACUUGUUAGGAUUGAUGUCCCUGAAUCAUGUGAUGUAAUGACUAUAAUUUACCGUUAGUUUUCGGAUUAUCUUUAUGAAAUUCAGUUUAUGAUUAAAAGUGCUUAUUGCUUCUUUAUAUUGGAAAAUAUAUGUGUUGAUAUACGGUUGAGGGUUCGUCGGACAAACUACCUCAACGCUUUUUUAAUCAUAACGCUAUAAUUGAGAAUCACUGAGGAAUAAGGGUUUAAUGUGUAGCGACCAUAUUAUCCAGGCUAUGUCUUGUAGAAUCUUGAGGUAAAAUCAUCUUGUUAAGGAAUUAAAAGAGGGUUUUAAUCUCAAGAAGUUUUCACUAAGGAAUUAGGGGAAAUCAAUGUUUGGUGUCGGUAGUGAGAAUUUCUAAAGUUAAUCUGUUAAUCGGUGAUUAUUUCAUUGCAGAGCGAUUCAUACAUCUGUCCUGACUUGUUCCAGCAUAUUUUCAUUAAGCAAAUUAUUUUAACUCUUUCAUUGCAUAAGUUGUUAUUUUAAAUUAAAUAUAAAAACCAAACCCCCGAUGACUUUUUAUUCCGUUGCACUAUUCUAAAACGUAUAAUUCCUACGCAGUCCGCGAGUUCGAUACUUGGGAAAAUUAAUCCUCUUAUUACUACAUCGAUAAAAAUAGUACACUUGCUAUUUUCCGGUCAUUAUCCAUGAGAACUCUGGGGAUGCCAUCUGUCUAUGUGCAGUUUAUAGAAACCGUUUCGCAAUUCAAACCUUCCCGCUCAAGUCCUUUUCGACAUGUGGCUAUAUAGUUAUAUUCGAAAAUGUUACGGAAACACAUUAAGCUUCAGUACUUUAUGUAAUUUUCCGCGAAAUGUCUAAGUCUUGGCAAAGAUAUCUUCCGUGUUAACUUCGAUACUUCUCUCCUUCGUUUCAACUUAUACUUUUUCUUGAAGCAUGGCCAUCAGUAGCCAUUUUUUUAAAUCUUCGAAGAUGGUCAUCAGAAACCAUCAUUCUUCGAAUUUAAAACCUUCGAAGAUCAACUUCUUAAACGAAAUCUCCAGCUAACAAAUUGCCCCCAAUAAAUGCCUGUUUCGACAAACGAGAGAAAUGGGCGUUUCUUGCCAUGAUGGGAUUUCGUUUUGCUUUCUUAGAGUCCCGAGACUAAUAAUUGACGUCAUAAUCAAUUAUGACUCUAUUUCCAAAACGUCUUGUCGCUUUCAAAAACGCCUCCUCAACAGUUACAUUCCCACGUCUUGACCUUACUUUAGUAUCAUUACUCCUAUAUCCUAGGAAUAGAGCUGAUGACUAUUCGACCGCCGUUGGAUUAAAUCAAUGCUUGCCGCGUGUCCUUUAGUUUUUACCCAAAAGAUUUAAAAGGGUUUCCGUUAAAUCUUUAAAUACUUAGUCUUUUCCUCUCUUUUCCCAUUCAGUUCUAUUCCUUCAAACUCUUUUCAGAAAAGACCGUACUUAGUUGCCUCCAAACUUCUUCCUCAAAUCAAACAUCUUUCAAUGGCGUCUUCUUCAAAUGCUCUCCAACCAGUUCUGAAGCUUCAGAAACCUAUGCAAAUGGGGAACCAAGAAUACAUACCAAUUCCGAAUACUGCGGAGGAACGCGCCAUUUACGCAUCUCAGGUAAUCAUCCCUUUUGAGCUUUCUGGAAAAACUUAUGCUUUCAUGGGCCCGUUACCAGGAGAAAAUAGUUCAUCAAAUAAAUUCUUUCCUGCGUAUUAUAAGACUAGGCCUCUGGUUAGCAAGAUUAAAAUAGACGAUGAAGGUAAUCCAAUCUCAGAGGAUUCUAACCCUGCAGAAGGGGCUUCGACUGCGCCUCCCGUAGCCUUAGAGAGAAUUAGGUUAGAUUACGUAACCAAUUUUGUGAAGGUUUUUAGGUCAAUCCCUUUAGCAAAAGAUCCUGAACUGUACUAUUCUUGGUUAGCCAAAGUGGAGAAACAGAAGGCUUCUUUCUGGCAAGAGUUAGGGAUUUAUGACCUAAUUCAAUUGUCCAAGACUGGUUUAGAGUAUAACCAAACUAUGUUAGUAGCAUCAGUCCAUUUCUGGGACGCUUCUCACAAUACCUUUCACCUUCCAUGUGGAAUGAUUACUCCAACCCUUUUCGAUGUAGCUGCCAUCACAGGGCUUCGAGCGACUGGCGAAACCUUUGAUCCUAAUGUCUUGGAUGUUGAUACCAUUAACUUCAACGAAGCUACGGUUACUUAUACUGCUUUCAUCCAGCAAUAUCAUGAUCAGGCAAAUGCCACAGUCUCUGACGUAGAACAUAUUGCUUUCCUGGCAUUAUGGCUUUCGAGGUGUGUUUUCUGCUCCAGGUCCAUACAAGUAGCGAAAAGAUAUCUUUGCAUGGCUAAUCAGUUACAUGAUGGUAAGAAACUGAACCUGAGCCAAUUGAUUCUAGGAUUUCUUUACGAAAACCUUGGUGAAGCUGUAGAUCUUGUAAAGAAUUACACAACAGGAUCUCUCCUUUUUGCUGGUCCCUUCUGGUUAUUACAACUGUGGCUUAAUCCCACCUUCGAAGCUCACCUCCCAUUCCGGGGCGUCGUCAACGAAGAAGUUCCAGAAAUCAAAAAUCGAUCUGUCGAAGGGACUAGAUUGUCCUUGUUGACCCCGAAAGAAGAAACUGGGAAACUUCGUGAACAUUUCUUAGCGUAUGUAAUGAUGUUUGCUAAACGUUACCAGUUCAGUUAUUCAAUGGCUCCAUUUGUACGAAGAGUUGUAGGUCCUAAAUGGUUUACUCGAGAGUUUCCUGCAACAUCUUCGGACCAUCAAACUGAAUCUUUGGCUAUUUGGGAAGCUUUUCUUACCCCGAGGUUAUUCUAUCACCGCCUCCGACCUUCCAAAGGUCAAUGUAUUCUCGUUUAUUAUCAGCCAAAUCUUGUGUCGAGACAGUUUGGGUUGGUCCAAGUGAAGCCCAAGUGUCUGUAUGACAAAAGGAACCACAUGUGCUUCCGUACCUUAUACCUAACUGAAGAUGAAUGUGAUACGAAGAUAGCCAGAUAUACUGAUGUUUUCACCCUUUCUCCUAUCUCUUUCGCUCCUUUUUUCUAUUCCACUCCAGAUUUUCAACAAUGGUGGUCAGAUUAUUAUACCACACAAAUCUAUGAUGUCGAAGGCCUUACCCGAGAACUAACUGAAGCUUUUACUGCUGUGCAGGAUAAAUUCCACAAAGGUACCUCCACUCACAUUAAAGAAAUCCAAGCUUUUCAAAAGUUCUUUGAAACUAUUUACAGGCCUGAUGAUCUUAGUCGGACCGUUCGCGAAGCUGCUGUUAUUUUACGUGAAAAGUUUUCUGCAAAACUGGAUAAGUUGAAAUUGCCCCCGUCUGUUCGACCAGAACUACGUUAUGAAGUGGCAUUUAAACUUAAUCCUCCAAAAUUCCCCCACUACCAAGUGCUGAUUUUGGUGUGGCUUUAAGUCCUCCUUUCCCAAACUGGUUCGUGUGUGGGAAUGCUCUCAAAAUUCUUCAAGAGAGUACCAAAAAACGCGCUGAACGAGUGGUCCCGACUAAGCAUACCCUGGAUACUUUCAAAGGGCAUCUCCAUAUAGAUCUUGAACACGUUCGUGUCUUGACUCCAAUACCCGAAGGUUUGGGUAUAGUUAAUCUUUAGACUGACUCUUCUUUCUCUUAUCGAGAUAAUAAUUCCAAUCUUUGUUACAGCUGUUGCUCACAAGAGAAAGGUUAAAGCAACUGCUGCGCAGAAAGAUUCUGAGGCCUCGAAGAGCAAUAAGCCAAGUGGGAGCGAUUCUAUUACGACUGACGCGAAACCCACGGUACACACACAUUUCAUAUUCCAACUUGCAUGUCUUACGAAUAGCGCUUAUUUUUCUCCUUUUCAUUUUUCAGAGUUCGAAGCCUCCAAUGCCUUUGAAGCGAAAAGUUCUUCCAACUACUACUCCAGACGUUGCUUCGGAUGAGGAAGACAAGUCUCCCCCUCGUACCAGGCAAGGGCAUAAAAAGAGACAAAAAGGCACCACACCUGUGGGCAAAGGGAAAGGACAUGGGUCUUCGAAGAUCACUUCUUCGAGUGAUAAGGUGUCUUCUGAAGAAUCGCCUUUAAAAACCACUAGUAAUGCUCUCGUGAUGGAAAGCCACAAUUCAAGUCCAGCUACUAAUACAGCUAAGGUAUCUAGGCUUUACAACAUAAUCAUUUCUAUAAAUUUUAUUUCGAAUGAUUAAGUUAACGUCACCUUAUGAUUGCAGGAUGAUAUUGGAACAGCUACUUCUGAUUUCAACUCCUUCAACGCUGCCAUUCACCUUGAUGUCCCUCAACACACCUCUCAUAUACUUUCACCAGUCCUUGAAGAUGCUCCCCCUCUUGCCACUACAAUUACUGUAUCCUCUGUUGAAGGAAGCCAUUCGACUGAUGAUUCUCCUCCUACUCGCAAAGACGC